rnacentral:rRNA from 1 species
UACAGAGGUGGCAAGCGUUGUUCGGAAUUACUGGGCGUAAAGGGCGCGUAGGCGGCCAUCUAAGUCAGACGUGAAAUCCCCCGGCUUAACCUGGGAACUGCGUCUGAUACUGGACGGCUUGAGUAUGGGAGAGGGAUGUAGAAUUCCAGGUGUAGCGGUGAAAUGCGUAGAUAUCUGGAGGAAUACCGGUGGCGAAGGCGGCAUCCUGGACCAUUACUGACGCUGAGGCGCGACAGCGUGGGGAGCAAACAGG